rnacentral:rRNA from 1 species
GACGAACGCUGGCGGCGUGCUUAACACAUGCAAGUCGAACGGAAAGGCCCUGCUUUUGUGGGGUGCUCGAGUGGCGAACGGGUGAGUAACACGUGAGUAACCUGCCCUUGACUUUGGGAUAACUUCAGGAAACUGGGGCUAAUACCGGCUAGGAGCUCCGGCUGCAUGGUGGGGGGUGGAAAGUUUCGGCGGUUGGGGAUGGACUCGCGGCUUAUCAGCUUGUUGGUGGGGUAGUGGCUUACCAAGGCGUUGACGGGUAGCCGGCCUGAGAGGGUAAUCGGCCACAUUGGGACUGAGAUACGGCCCAGACUCCUACGGGAGGCAGCAGUGGGGAAUAUUGCACCAUGGGCGGAAGCCUGAUGCAGCAACGCCGCGUGCGGGAUGACGGCCUUCGGGUUGUAAACCGCUUUCGCCUGUGACGAAGCGUGAGUGACGGUAAUGGGUAAAGAAGCACCGGCUAACUACGUG